GGGGAUGUAUCUCAAUGGGAGAGUGCUUGCUUAGCAUGCAUGAGGUCCUGGGUUUAAUCCCCAGUACUGCCA
rnacentral:tRNA from 1 species